AGCGAACGCUGGCGGCAGGCCUAACACAUGCAAGUCGAACGGCCGUAGCAAUACGGCAGUGGCAGACGGGUGAGUAACACGUGGGAACGUACCCUUUGGUUCGGAACAACACAGGGAAACUUGUGCUAAUACCGGAUAAGCCCUUACGGGGAAAGAUUUAUCGCCGAAGGAUCGGCCCGCGUCUGAUUAGCUAGUUGGUGAGGUAACGGCUCACCAAGGCGACGAUCAGUAGCUGGUCUGAGAGGAUGAUCAGCCACACUGGGACUGAGACACGGCCCAGACUCCUACGGGUGGCUG
rnacentral:rRNA from 1 species